GGAGAAGUACCUAAGUGGUUAAAGGGGACAGACUGUAAAUCUGUUGAUAAAUAUUAUCUACGUUGGUUCAAAUCCAGCCUUCUCCA
rnacentral:tRNA from 1 species